rnacentral:rRNA from 1 species
AGUGAACGCUGGCGGUAGGCCUAACACAUGCAGGUCGAACGGCAGCACAGUAAGAGCUUGCUCUUACGGGUGGCGAGUGGCGGACGGGUGAGGAAUACAUCGGAAUCUACUUUUUCGUGGGGGAUAACGUAGGGAAACUUACGCUAAUACCGCAUACGACCUACGGGUGAAAGCAGGGGAUCUUCGGACCUUGCGCGAUUGAAUGAGCCGAUGUCGGAUUAGCUAGUUGGCGGGGUAAAGGCCCACCAAGGCGACGAUCCGUAGCUGGUCUGAGAGGAUGAUCAGCCACACUGGAACUGAGACACGGUCCAGACUCCUACGGGAGGCAGUAGUGGGGAAUAUUGGACAAUGGGCGCAAGCCUGAUCCAGCCAUACCGCGUGGGUGAAGAAGGCCUUCGGGUUGUAAAGCCCUUUUGUUGGGAAAGAAAAGCAGCAGGUUAAUACCCCGCUGUUCUGACGGUACCCAAAGAAUAAGCACCGGCUAACUUCGUG